rnacentral:misc_RNA from 1 species
UUCAGGCUGAUGGCUGUUUACCUUGCCUACGUGCUUGGUUUGUGGUCAUCUAGUUCGGUGAUCUCGGGAAUGUCAACCGUAAAGGUGCAUGAGUGGUGUUUGGUUUGUUACGGGUGGUUGGCUCUUUGCUUGCGCAACAACUUCCACCUGGCAUACCUCUUCAGUUAUGUGUCAGUGCUUGUAUCGCACUGAACACACCGUGGGUUUCUUGUGUUGCAUGCCUAACCGAUGGUAUCGCUUGUCGAUCGAUGUCUAUUUUCGUCUUGCGUCGCACAUGCGAUGCCAGAUGAACCAUAAAGCAGCCUUUGUGAUCCACUAUUUCGGUGCGCAUGCAUAGAUUACGUGGCUCAUUGAGUGCUGUUCGGUAUCACUGAUAUGGAACCUUAUCUAGGCAUGAGAUCUUUUACUAGAUCUUUCUUUGCCCUGAUUUAGCUUCAAAAAUACGAUUGCCUAUCACGUCAUUGAUGUGGUAGACUGUAUCGGAUAUGAAUG